rnacentral:rRNA from 1 species
GACGAACGCUGGCGGCGUGCCUAAUACAUGCAAGUCGAGCGGACGGAUGGGAGCUUGCUCCCAGACCGUCAGCGGCGGACGGGUGAGUAACACGUGGGCAACCUGCCUGUAAGACUGGGAUAACUCCGGGAAACCGGGGCUAAUACCGGAUAACUCUUUCCCUCACAUGAGGGAAAGCUGAAAGAUGGCAUCACGCUAUCACUUACAGAUGGGCCCGCGGCGCAUUAGCUAGUUGGUGAGGUAACGGCUCACCAAGGCGACGAUGCGUAGCCGACCUGAGAGGGUGAUCGGCCACACUGGGACUGAGACACGGCCCAGACUCCUACGGGAGGCAGCAGUAGGGAAUCUUCCGCAAUGGACGAAAGUCUGACGGAGCAACGCCGCGUGAGUGAUGAAGGUUUUCGGAUCGUAAAACUCUGUUGUCAGGGAAGAACAAGUACCGGAGUAACUGCCGGUACCUUGACGGUACCUGACCAGAAAGCCACGGCUAACUACGUG